rnacentral:rRNA from 1 species
GACGAACGCUGGCGGCGUGCCUAAUGCAUGCAAGUCGCACGGGUCUCCUUCGGGAGGUCAGUGGCGAACGGCUGAGGAACACGUGGGUACCUAUCCUUCAGUGGGGGACAACACCGCGAAAGCGGUGCUAAUCCCGCAUACGCUCUGCGGAGGAAAGCGUGGCAACACGCGCUGAAGACUGGCCCUGCGGCCCAUCAGGUAGUUGGCGGGGUAACGGCCCACCAAGCCCGUGACGGGUCGCUGGUCUGUGAGGACGACCAGCCAGACUGGGACUGAGAUACGGCCCAGACUCCUACGGGAGGCAGCAGCAAGGAAUUUUCGGCAAUGGGCGCAAGCCUGACCGAGCAACGCCGCGUGCGGGAUGACGGCCUUCGGGUUGUAAACCGCUUUUGGGGGGGAAGAAACAGACGGUACCCCCCGAAUCAGCCCCGGCUAACUCUGUG